UAAUAUUAAACUUGAAAAAAAAAAACAUGGAAAGAAGAAAAUAGAACAACGAAAAAGUUGAAGGAAAUGAGAGUGAAAUCACCCAAAAAAAGAAUAGAGAUAAAAGAUUGCAAAAAGUAUAAUUUUGAAUUGCAAUAGUGUGUGAAAUCGGUUGCAAAUCACAGCUAUUUAUAUUAAUAGAAUGAAGAUCGAAAUUAUAAAU
rnacentral:lncRNA from 1 species